UACGUAGGGCGCAAGCGUUGUCCGGAAUUAUUGGGCGUAAAGAGCUCGUAGGCGGCCUGUCGCGUCCGCUGUGAAAUCCCGGGGCUUAACCCCGGGCGUGCAGUGGAUACGGGCAGACUAGAGGUAUGCAGGGGAGAACGGAAUUCCUGGUGUAGCGGUGAAAUGCGCAGAUAUCAGGAGGAACACCGGUGGCGAAGGCGGUUCUCUGGGCAUUACCUGACGCUGAGGAGCGAAAGUGUGGGGAGCGAACAGG
rnacentral:rRNA from 1 species